AAGGCUUUAAGUUAAAUAAACUAAUAGCCUUCAAAGCUAAAAAUAUUAGAAUAAUCUUUUAAGCCUUA
rnacentral:tRNA from 2 species